AUCGCUUCUCGGCCUUUUGGCUAAGAUCAAGUGUAGUAUCGUAUCGACUACUGCUUUAAGGGAUUAUCCAGGCUUAAAGGUUUU
rnacentral:snRNA from 1 species